rnacentral:rRNA from 1 species
GAUGAACGCUAGCGACAGGCCUAACACAUGCAAGUCGAGGGGCAUCGGGACGUAGCAAUACGUUGCCGGCGACCGGCGGAUGGGUGAGUAACGCGUAUGCAACCUACCCGUAGCAGGGGGAUAGCCCGUUGAAAGACGGAUUAAUACCCCGUAACACAGGGGCUCCGCAUGGAGAUUAUUGUUAAAGGGUCAUUUCUUUUUCAGGGAUGGUCCGGCUGCGGAUGGGCAUGCGUUCCAUUAGGUAGUUGGUGUAGGUAACUGCUCACCAAGCCGACGAUGGAUAGGGGAACUGAGAGGUUGGUCCCCCACACUGGUACUGAGACACGGACCAGACUCCUACGGGAGGCAGCAGUGAGGAAUCUUGGUCAAUGGACGCAAGUCUGAACCAGCCAUGUCGCGUGAAGGAGGACGGCCCUAAGGGUUGUAAACUUCUUUUGCAGUGGAAUAAAGUUUGCCACGUGUUGGCGAUUUGCAAGUACGCUGCGAAUAAGGAUCGGCUAACUCCGUGCCAGCAGCCGCGGUAAUACGGAGGAUCCGGGCGUUAUCCGGAUUUAUUGGGUUUAAAGGGUGCGCAGGCGGGGAAUUAGGUAGGCGGUGAAAUUUCGGGGCUCAACCUCGACAGUGCCGUUGAAACCGUUUCUCUUGAGUGCGGAUGAGGUAGGCGGAAUUUGUGGUGUAGCGGUGAAAUGCGUAGAUAUCACAAGGAACACCGAUUGCGGAGGCAGCUUACUAAACCGUUACUGACGCUCAUGCACGAAGGCGUGGGGAUCAAA